UACGAAGGGUGCGAGCGUUGUUCGGAAUCACCGGGCAUAAAGGGCAUGUAGGUUGUUGAUCAAGUCUGAAGAGAAAGAUCUGGGCUUAACUCAGAGAACUCUUUUGAAACUGAUUGACUAGAGGCACUCAGAGGAUGAUGGAAUUAUGCAAGUAGAGGUGGAAUUCACAGAUAUGCAUAAGAACACCGGUGGCAAAGGCGAUUAUCUGGGAGUGUACUGACACUGAGGUGCGAAGGUGUGGGGAGCAAAC
rnacentral:rRNA from 1 species